UGCUCCUAGUACGAGAGGACCGGAGUGGACGCAUCACUGGUGUUCGGGUUGUCAUGCCAAUGGCACUGCCCGGUAGCUAAAUGCGGACGAGAUAAGUGCUGAAAGCAUCUAAGCACGAAACUUGCCCCGAGAUGAGUUCUCCCUGACUCCUUGAGAGUCCUGAAGGAACGUUGAAGACGACGACGUUGAUAGGCCGGGUGUGUAAGCGCAGCGAUGCGUUGAGCUAACCGGUACUAAUGAACCGUGAGGCUUAACCUUACAACGCCGAAG
rnacentral:rRNA from 1 species